rnacentral:rRNA from 1 species
GAUGAACGCUGGCGGCGUGCCUAAUACAUGCAAGUCGAGCGAACAGACGAGGAGCUUGCUCCUUUGACGUUAGCGGCGGACGGGUGAGUAACACGUAGGUAACCUACCUAUAAGACUGGGAUAACUUCGGGAAACCGGAGCUAAUACCGGAUAAUAUUUCGAACCGCAUGGUUCGAUAGUGAAAGAUGGCUUUGCUAUCACUUAUAGAUGGACCUGCGCCGUAUUAGCUAGUUGGUAAGGUAACGGCUUACCAAGGCAACGAUACGUAGCCGACCUGAGAGGGUGAUCGGCCACACUGGAACUGAGACACGGUCCAGACUCCUACGGGAGGCAGCAGUAGGGAAUCUUCCGCAAUAGGCGAAAGCCUGACGGAGCAACGCCGCGUGAGUGAUGAAGGUCUUCGGAUCGUAAAACUCUGUUAUUAGGGAAGAACAAACGUGUAAGUAACUGUGCACGUCUUGACGGUACCUAAUCAGAAAGCCACGGCUAACUACGUG